rnacentral:rRNA from 1 species
UACGUAGGGGGCUAGCGUUGUCCGGAAUCAUUGGGCGUAAAGCGCGUGUAGGCGGUUCGGUAAGUCCGCUGUGAAAGUCGAGGGCUCAACCCUCGAAUGCCGGUGGAUACUGUCGGGCUAGAGUACGGAAGAGGCGAGUGGAAUUCCUGGUGUAGCGGUGAAAUGCGCAGAUAUCAGGAGGAACACCAAUUGCGAAGGCAGCUCGCUGGGACGUUACUGACGCUGAGACGCGAAAGCGUGGGGAGCGAACAGG